AUGGCAACCAUACUAGAAUCUUUGCUUGGGUCAUGUGCCAAUAAGUUGCAAAAUAUUAUUAGUGAUGAGGCCAUACUAAUCCUAGGGGUGGAAGAAGAGCUUGCAGAAGUGUUGAGACGGGUAGAACUAAUACGUUGGUGUAUAUAUGAUGCUGAGAAAAGGAGGACAAAAGAGCUUGCAGUGAACAAUUGGCUUGGUCAACUGAGAGAUGUUAUAUAUGAUGUUGAUGAAAUUUUGGACAUGGCUAGAUGCAAAGGAAGCAAACUACUGCCUGACCAUCCAUUAUCAUCAAGCAAAUCAGCUUCCUAUAAAGGACUUUCAGUUUCCUCUUGCUUUUGUAACAUCGGGUCACCCCACGAUAUUGCUGUUCGGAUUAGAAGUCUGAACAAAAGGAUAGAGAACAUUUCGAAAGAUACAACAUUUUUAACAUUCAGCAGUAGUUCACAGCCUACUGGAAAUGGUCCAACAACCAAAUUGAUAAGAAGUUCCAACCUUGUUGAGCCCAACCUUGUGGGUAAGGAGAUCAUAUAUUCAAGCAAGAAGUUGGUAGACUUAGCACUUGCUCACAAGGCAAAUAAGUCUUAUAAGCUUGCUAUUGUUGGAACAGGAGGAGUUGGUAAGACAACACUAGCUCAGAAAAUAUUCAAUGACCAAAAAAUAAAAGGAAGCUUCAAGCUACAGGCAUGGAUUUGUGUUUCGCGGGACUACAAUGAAAUAACUGUUCUAAAAGAGGUUCUUCGAAAUAUUGGUGUGUAUCAUGAGCAAGGCGAAACCAUAGCAGAACUGCAGAGAAAGCUUGCAGAAACAUUUGAAGGGAAGAGUUUCUUUCUGGUUUUAGAUGACGUGUGGCAUCCCAAUGUCUGGACGGAUUUAUUAAGAACCCCAUUCCAUACAACAAAUUCUGGAGUAAUAUUGGUAACCACGCGAGAUGAUCAAAUUGCAAUGAGAAUAGGCAUACAACAUACCCAUCAAGUUGAUCUCAUGUCAGCAGAGGUGGGAUGGGAGCUACUUUGGAAGAGCAUGAACAUUGCCGAAGAGAAAGAAGUGCAUAAUUUGAGAAACACAGGCAAGGAGAUUGUUGAUAAAUGUGGUCGCCUCCCUCUUGCAAUUAAGGUUACUGCUAGUGCUUUGGCAAGCAAAGAUCUAACCGAGAAUGAGUGGAGAAAGUUUUUAGGCAAAUACUCUGGCUCCCAGGGGAUGCUCUCUGAUGAAAUAGAAGGCACUCUAUACCUAAGCUAUGAUGAGUUACCGCAUCGUCUGAAACAGUGUUUCCUUUACUGUGCUUUGUAUACUGAAGAUUCUAUCAUUUACCGUGGUGUAGUUACAAAGUUAUGGAUUGCUGAAGGCUUCAUUGAGGAGCAACAAGGCCAGCUACUAGAACACACAGCAGAAGAGUACUACUAUGAGCUAAUCCAUCGGAAUCUCCUCCAACCAGAUGGCACAAUUUUUAACCAGGCUCAAUGCAGAAUGCAUGACCUCUUAAGACAGCUUGCUUGCAAAUUAUCACGGGACGAAUGCUUUAUUGGAGACGCUGAAACAUUGAGGGGUGAGAAUAUGUCAAAAUUGCAACGCCUUUCUGUUGUCGAUAAGAAGGAUAAAUUAGUGUUAACUAGCAUGGAUAACAUGGUAGUUAAGAGUCUUCCGUCGGCGAUGACCCAAUUGUGCAAUCUACGAUGUCUUCGUCUUACUGGUACAAAAGUAAAUCAGGUUCCAAAAGGGAUAGGAGAGUUAAAUUUGCUCACUGAAUUACGCGGAUUUCUUGUCGGCGACAUAAGUGAUAAUGCUGAUGUACAAGAUGGGUGGAAGUUGGAAGAGUUGUCUUCUUUGCCGCAAAUGAUGUAUCUUAAUCUUGUUAAAUUGGAAAGAACGGCUCAUUUUCAUACAAAUGUAGUGCUGGAGGACAAAAAACAUCUAAAAGAAUUGGUGCUAGAGUGGACCACACAUGGAGAGGGACCAUAUUCAGAAGAUGUUUGCAAUGCUGAGAAGGUCUUUGAGCUGCUAGUACCUCCAUGCAACUUGGAAACCCUCUAUAUCUUUGGAUUCUUUGGUCAGAGGUAUCCCACGUGGUUUGGUACCACCUGUUUGUCUUCAGUAACACACUUGUUCCUAAAAAAUCUACAAUCAUGCGUGGAUCUUCCACCGGUCGGACAGCUACCAAACUUGAAGUUUCUGAGAAUUGAUGGAGCACAUGUAGUUACCAAGGUUGGACCUGAAUUUGUUGGCUACAGGGUGGGUGAACCCAUAAGCAAUGAGUUCAUUGCUUUCCCUAAACUUGAAUGGUUCUUCGUCAAGGAUAUGCCCAACUGGGAGGAGUGGUCUUUUUUUAAGGAAGUGGAAAAUGUUGUUGAUGAAGGAGGAGACGAUGGUGGUGAUGAGAUUCGUAACGGUGAUGCCCAAUCUAUACGAUUGCAACUGCUGCCUCGUUUGGUGAAGUUGAAAGUCGAAGGUUGCCCAAAGCUGAGUGCUCUCCCGCGACAGCUUGGCGAGGACACCGCCAGCUUAAAGGAGCUCUUGUUAAUUGGAGCGAACAGCUUGAAGGCCGUGAAUGACCUCCCAGUGCUUGAGCUCCUUGUGAUUGAGGAUUGUGAAGGCAUGGAGAAGGUCUCCAACCUCCCUGAAGUGUCAAAACUACAAGUACGUGGUUGUCCAAACUUAAGCCAUGUAGAGGGGUUGGGCAAUUUGCAGCAGCUGGGGUUGGGCGAGGAUAUGCAGGAGAUAUCUUCCCGUUGGGUGCCUGGGCUUCAGAACCAGCGCCAGCGACUUCAUGGCGAAGACCUGGAUGUCUACACACUAUCUACCGGUUAG
rnacentral:rRNA from 1 species